UACGAAGGGCGCUAGCGUUGUUCGGAAUUACUGGGCGUAAAGCGCGCGCAGGCGGUCUUCCAAGUCAGUGGUGAAAGCCCGGAGCUCAACUCCGGAACUGCCAUUGAAACUGUAAGACUUGAGGACGAGAGAGGUGAGUGGAAUUCCCAGUGUAGAGGUGAAAUUCGUAGAUAUUGGGAAGAACACCGGUGGCGAAGGCGGCUCACUGGCUCGUAUCUGACGCUCAGGCGCGACAGCGUGGGGAUCAAACAGG
rnacentral:rRNA from 1 species